rnacentral:rRNA from 1 species
AACGAACGCUGGCGGCAUGCCUAACACAUGCAAGUCGAACGAGACCUUCGGGUCUAGUGGCGCACGGGUGCGUAACGCGUGGGAACCUGCCCUUAGGUUCGGAAUAACUCCCCGAAAGGGGUGCUAAUACCGGAUAAUGUCUUCGGACCAAAGAUUUAUCGCCUUUGGAUGGGCCCGCGUUGGAUUAGCUAGUUGGUAGGGUAAAAGCCUACCAAGGCGACGAGCCAUAGCUGGUCUGAGAGGAUGAUCAGCCACACUGGGACUGAGACACGGCCCAGACUCCUACGGGAGGCAGCAGUGGGGAAUAUUGGAAAAUGGGCGAAAGCCUGAUCCAGCAAUGCCGCGUGAGUGAUGAAGGCCUUAGGGUUGUAAAGCUCUUUUACCCGGGAUGAUAAUGACAGUACCGGGAGAAUAAGCUCCGGCUAACUCCGUG